rnacentral:lncRNA from 1 species
UAGAGACUUUUAGAUGCAAAAAGAGAUUUUUACUAUUUUAUUAGAUCUCCCACACUCUCAGGGUAGAGAAAUAAAAAUUUUGAUGUGAUAAUUGGGUUUCUAGUGGGUGCUGUGAUUCCACCAAUGCUGUGCAUCUCACCUAACAGUUAUUGAUAACACGAAUGAACACCGAUGCAUGGACAACUCUUUGCCCAGAUGCUUCUCUAAGCAUAUUGCAGCCACUUGAUUUCUAAGUC